rnacentral:rRNA from 1 species
CCUACGUGUGGCUGCAGUGGGGAAUAUUGCACAAUGGGGGGAACCCUGAUUCAGCGAUGCCGCGUGGAGGAAGAAGUUUUUCGGAUUGUAAACUCCUUUUAUCAGGGACGAUAAUGACGGUACCUGAAGAAAAAGCUCCGGCUAACUACGUGCCAGCAGCCGCGGUAAUACGUAGGGAGCGAGCGUUGUUCGGAAUUACUGGGUGUAAAGGGAGCGUAGGCGGGACGGCAAGUUAGAUGUGAAAACUGAGGGCUUAAACUUCAGACUGCAUUUGAAACUGCUGUUCGUGAGUGAAGUAGAGGUAAGCGGAAGUCCGAGUGUAGCGGUGAAAUGCGUAGAUAUUAGGAGGAACACCAGUGGCGAAGGCGGCUUACUGGGCUUUUACUGACGCUGAGGCUCGAAAGCGUGGGGAGCAAACAGGAUUAGAUACCCGAGUAGUC